rnacentral:rRNA from 1 species
CACAAGCGUGGAGCAUGUGGUUUAAUUCGACGCAACGCGAAGAACCUUACCAGGGCUUGACAUCCCCUGACCGCGUAUGAAGUACGUUUUCACCCUCGGGUGACAGGGAGACAGGUGGUGCAUGGUUGUCGUCAGCUCGUGUCGUGAGAUGUUGGGUUAAGUCCCGCAACGAGCGCAACCCCUAUUGUUAGUUGCCAUCAUUCAGUUGGGCACUCUAGCGAGACUGCCGGUAAUAAACCGGAGGGAGGUGGGGAUGACGUCAAAUCAUCAUGCCCCUUAUGACCUGGGCUACACACGUGCUACAAUGGUUGGUACAACGAGUUGCGAGUCGGUGACGGCGAGCUAAUCUCUUAAAGCCAAUCUCAGUUCGGAUUGUAGGCUGCAACUCGCCUACAUGAAGUCGGAAUCGCUAGUAAUCGCGGAUCAGCACGCCGCGGUGAAUACGUUCCCGGGCCUU